rnacentral:tRNA from 1 species
UCCCUGUGGCUCAAAUGGUAAAGCAUCUGCCUGCAAUGCGGGAGACCCAGGUUUGAUCCCUGGGUCGGGAA